rnacentral:rRNA from 1 species
GGAGCGUUCUGUAAGCCUGCGAAGGUGUGCUGUGAGGCAUGCUGGAGGUAUCAGAAGUGCGAAUGCUGACAUAAGUAACGAUAAAGCGGGUGAAAAGCCCGCUCGCCGGAAGACCAAGGGUUCCUGUCCAACGUUAAUCGGGGCAGGGUGAGUCGACCCCUAAGGCGAGGCCGAAAGGCGUAGUCGAUGGGAAACAGGUUAAUAUUCCUGUACUUGGUGUUACUGCGAAGGGGGGACGGAGAAGGCUAUGUUGGCCGGGCGACGGUUGUCCCGGUUUAAGCGUGUAGGCUGGUUUUCCAGGCAAAUCCGGAAAAUCAAGGCUGAGGCGUGAUGACGAGGCACUACGGUGCUGAAGCAACAAAUGCCCUGCUUCCAGGAAAAGCCUCUAAGCAUCAGGUAACAUCAAAUCGUACCCCAAACCGACACAGGUGGUCAGGUAGAGAAUACCAAGGCGCUUGAGAGAACUCGGGUGAAGGAACUAGGCAAAAUGGUGCCGUAACUUCGGGAGAAGGCACGCUGAUAUGUAGGUGAAGUCCCUUGCGGAUGGAGCUGAAAUCAGUCGAAGAUACCAGCUGGC